UACGUAGGGUGCAGGCGUUAAUCGGAAUUACUGGGCGUAAAGCGUGCGCAGGCGGUCUGCUAAGAGAGGUGUGAAAUCCCCGGGCUUAACCUGGGAACUGCGCUUCUAACUGGCAGGCUUGAGUGUGGCAGAGGGGGGUGGAAUUCCACGUGUAGCAGUGAAAUGCGUAGAGAUGUGGAGGAACACCGAUGGCGAGGGCAGCCCCCUGGGCUAACACUGACGCUCAUGCACGAAAGCGUGGGGAGCAAACAGG
rnacentral:rRNA from 1 species